rnacentral:pre_miRNA from 1 species
UUAUAGGAAAAUCUUUCUUUAAAUGGGGCAACUUAGUCUAAAAGAAGUGAAUCUGUAUAGUUUUCCCUUCAGGUCAAAUGUCUUGU